GCCUUCUGGGACGGCACAGUUUGGAGGGGCAGCCAGGCAAGUCAACAGACGAUUUCAAUUUAGUAUGAUUGGAAGAUGCGAUCCAGCCGGGUGCUGAGUGGAGCUGCCCUGAACCUAGUCGGAGGAUGGACGACAAAUGGCUUCUGAGCAGUGGAAAUUCCAGCCCCAAGAGAGAGGAAGAAAAUGAGCUUUCUGUAGCAAGGGCUGAAGCCACCAAGACUGUGGUAUCUGAUUGGCUAAUGUGUUAUAUUUUGAGUGAGGACUGACAAGAGCCUUAUGUGAAACCAUUAUGUGAUUCUGUGGAAGAUACCUCCCUUAUUUCUUAC
rnacentral:lncRNA from 1 species